rnacentral:lncRNA from 1 species
AUAUUACUACGGUGUAAACAAAGAGUUUAAGAGUAAGCAUUACACAAUCUCCAAGAGCAUUUUUUGGAAAAAGAAGAGAAUAGAUUCCCCAUUUUUAUACCACAUAUCCUAUUUUGUUUUGAUUUUGACACCAAGAAAUAAAGUGAUUUCUAGAAUUUCUAGAAAUCGAAAAGAAUUUUCAGAAAUUCACUUGUAAUAAGAGUUGAGUUUUUCAUUACAAAAAAAAUUCUUUCAUACCAACAAUUAUAUAUUGUGGUGGACUCUAAUCUAAAUAGGGUUCUUCGGCGAAAAGGGUCAGAAUGAGGAAAUGGGAUGAUCCAGAUUUAUCAGGGCUAUCCAAGAAUUUCAAUCUUUGAACUGAGGGUUCGUUCAUAGUGUAAGACUUAUCUGAUCUUUUCAAUUGUUAGACUUUUUUUUUCUUGAAUCACUCAUGAAUUUUUCUAGGACAGUAUUAAGGAUCUUAUCGAAAACUUACUGCAGCUUGCCAAACAAAGGCUAAGAGAAAAAAGAGAACAGGUAUUACUGGCAUAAAAUCUACGAUUGGAUUCAAAAAAGCAUAGGCCUCGGGCAAUUUGGCGAAUAAAAAACUACUCGAAAAAAGGGCAGAAUUAAAAUAGAUACAGAUCAAAUUAAAGAUAUUAAGCAUAACAAAAUUUUGUUCUUGGAGAUAAUUUUGAUUGAGUUAUUAAUAUGUUUUUUGAUAUAAGGAAAAAAAUGAAGAAAGGAAAAUAAGGCAGACUAAACAAUACUUCUUUGAACUCACCCAAUCAAAAAGCCUUCAAUUCUUACAAGAGAAUAGAAGAAAUCAUACUUUCAUACAAUAUCUUAAUUGAAUUCUAUGUAAUGAUCAAUAAAUUCGAUUUAAUUCUCUAUCCAUACGUGCAAAAAUCGUAGCAAGAAUCUAUUCCAUAGCUAUAGCUAUUUGGAACUGGAAUUGACGAACAAGGAAUACCCAUAUUAGUGUUUAGUAGUUUCAAAUAGAAAUCAAAAUGGGGCGUCGCCAAGUGGUAAGGCAACGGGUUUUGGUCCCGCUAUGCGGAGGUUCGAAUCCUUCCGUCCCAGAGCAUACUCUAUUUAUAUAUCAGAAUAACCAUAUCCUAAUCUAAAUUGCUCUUUUUUUGUUUUUAAUAACAUUCUUUCUAACAGUCAAGUAUUGUAGAAAAUGGGAUUCUUGCUUUUGAUUUUUAAUGAUUUCUUAAGAUUGGCACUCGAACAACUGUGGGAUUGUUGGAUCUAUUCUACAGAGUUAUUUGAUCUAUCGGGUUAUUUGAAGAUGCACGGUAGAUUCAAAAAGAUUAGUUUAUUUGUGUUUUUUAUAAUAUUCGUGAUAUUAUUAGUAUUUUCGUAAUAUUAUUAUUAAUGAUAUUCUUUAUUUAUUUUUUUAAUUAGAAUCGAAAAGUUUAAUUAGAAUAGAAAAGUAUAAUAAAAGUUUAAAAAAAUCAAAAAAUAUUGCAUUCAGACAAUCAUACAAUAUGGGGUAGUUUGAAUUCUUAUUGAGGCUUUUUCUUCCUAAAUUAUUUAUUUAUUUCAUAUAGCAUAUAGAAGGAAAUUGAUUUCAUAUAGAAAGUAUAGAUAGAUUACUAUGUAUCGACUGAACCAAUGACUAUUCAUGAUUCCAUAAUUGAAUCAAUGCUCCAAACUAGAGGAAUGUUAUGGUAAAACUUCGUUUGAAACGAUGUGGUAGAAAGCAACGUGCGACUUGAAGGACAUGAUCAGCUAUGGAUGUCAAAACCCACCACUUUCCGUUAUGUAGAAAUGAAGGUGCUUUUUGCUCGACAUCCUUUGUUCUAUUAUAAUCCGUCUUUUUGUUGGGUUGUAAUGUAAAUAGUACAGGAUGGAGCUCGAAGAGAAACAUCCAUUUUUCAGGGGCAAGGAUCUAGGGUUAGUUAAUGGAAAUCAAUAAGUUGGAACAACUUCGUAAGUCUAUUUGUGAUAUAGAAAUCGAAAGGAUCCGAUUCCAACUAUUUUCAAAUCAAAAAGAAAAGUUGUUGGAAUUGGUAAAACUCUUUCGAUCAAAAGUGUAUCAUGCGGGAAUUAAUCGUUCAUAUGAUUCUUUGAUAGAAAAAAAAAGAGAGAAAAAAGGGCAUGUUGCUGCCAUUUUGGAAAUGAUUAAAUAUCGCUGAAGGAAUGUCUAAACCCAAUGAUUUAAGGCAAAGAUAAAAGAUCCUAGAACAAGGAAAUACCCUUUUCCAUUUUCUCAACAACUAGAUUAAAAUGAAGAAUCGAAAUAGAUUCUAAGCGAGACAAACAAAAAAGGGGUUAGAGACCACUCAAUAAAGGAAUGCCUAAGGAUUAUUUUUUGAGCAUUUUGCGAGUUAUUUGACUUGAGUUAUGAGAGUACGAAUGCUUUUUUCUUCUUUUUUUUUUUGAAAAAAAAAGACGGGGUUAAAUGUCUAAUUGAUUUGCUGGUUUAUGGAUCUUUUUGACAUUCUAAUUCCAUACAUUAUAAUUCCAUACAUAGACAUAACUUUUAAUUUAUCAUUUUUUUCUCGAGCCGUAC